rnacentral:rRNA from 1 species
GAUGAACGCUGGCGGCGUGCCUAAUACAUGCAAGUCGAGCGAAUGGAUUAAGAGCUUGCUCUUAUGAAGUUAGCGGCGGACGGGUGAGUAACACGUGGGUAACCUGCCCAUAAGACUGGGAUAACUCCGGGAAACCGGGGCUAAUACAGGAUAACAUUUUGAACCGCAUGGUUCGAAAUUGAAAGGCGGCUUCGGCUGUCACUUAUGGAUGGACCCGCGUCGCAUUAGCUAGUUGGUGAGGUAACGGCUCACCAAGGCAACGAUGCGUAGCCGACCCGGGAGGGUGAUCGGCCACACGGGGACUGAGACACGGCCCAGACUCCUACGGGAGGUAGCAGUAGGGAAUCUUCCGCAAUGGACGAAAGUCUGACGGAGCAACGCCGCGUGAGUGAUGAAGGCUUUCGGGUCGUAAAACUCUGUUGUUAGGGAAGAACAAGUGCUAGUUGAAUAAGCUGGCACCUUGACGGUACCUAACCAGAAAGCCACGGCUAACUACGUGCCAGCAGCCGCAGUAA